rnacentral:rRNA from 1 species
AGCGAAAUGCGAUAAGUAAUGUGAAUUGCAGAAUUCAGUGAAUCAUCGAAUCUUUGAACGCACCUUGCGCCCUUUGGCUAUUCCGAAGGGCAUGCCUGUUUGAGUAUCAUGAACACCUCAACUCUCAUGGUCCGCCAUGAUGAGCUUGGACUUUGGGGGUCUUGCCGGCCUAACCGUUGGCUCCUCUCAAAUGAAUCAGCUUGCCAGUGUUUGGUGGCAUCACGGGUGUGAUAAAUAUCUACGCCUGCGCUCUUCCACCAGGUAACCUUCAGUGAUGGAGGUUCGCUGGAGCUCACAGACGUCCUCUUCCCAUGGAGGACAGCUUUUGAACGUUUGAUCUCAAAUCAGGUAGGACUACCCGCUGAACUUAAGCAUAUCAAUAAGCGGAGGAAAAGAAACU